GGAGGAAAAGAAACUAACAAGGAUUCCCCUAGUAACGGCGAGUGAACCGGGAAAAGCUCAAAUUUGAAAUCUGGCGUCCUCAGGGCGUCCGAGUUGUAAUCUAUAGAGGCGUUUUCCGUGCCGGACCGUGUCCAAGUCCCUUGGAACAGGGUAUCAAAGAGGGUGACAAUCCCGUACUUGACACGACUACCGGUGCUCUGUGAUACGUCUUCUACGAGUCGAGUUGUUUGGGAAUGCAGCUCAAAAUGGGUGGUGAGUUCCAUCUAAAGCUAAAUAUUGGCGAGAGACCGAUAGCGAACAAGUACCGUGAGGGAAAGAUGAAAAGCACUUUGGAAAGAGAGUUAAACAGUACGUGAAAUUGUUGAAAGGGAAACGAUUGAAGUCAGUCGUGACCGAGAGGCUCAGCCGGCUCUGCCGGUGUAUUCCCCUCGGUCGGGUCAACAUCAGUUUUGUCCGGUGGAUAAGGGCGGUAGGAAGGUGGCACCCACGGGUGUGUUAUAGCCUGCCGUCACAUACACUGGGUGAGACUGAGGAAUGCAGCUCGCCUUUAUGGCCGGGGUUCGCCCACGUCCGAGCUUAGGAUGUUGACAUAAUGGCUUUAAACGACCCGUCUU
rnacentral:rRNA from 1 species